rnacentral:lncRNA from 1 species
CCUGCUUGAAAUAAAAAGUGCUUCUAAUAGGUUUAUAUCUAAACCCAGCAGUAUAUCUCCUUCUCGCGGAUUUAUACCUAAAUCACACCAUGAUUUUUAACAUCUGGUUUCUUUUGCCUCUCUCAAUAAUUUUUUGUUGUUGUUCAUUCCAUCAAAUGUGAGUUGAGAUGUGGGAGGCAUAAGGUCAAAUUCCUGAAAUUAAGUUAGAUUUUGAAAACACACUUGGAAUAGCAUUUCUAAAGUUUACCUGUGUACUUAAUAAAUAAAACCUUAAAAUUAGA